rnacentral:rRNA from 1 species
GACGAACGCUGGCUGCGUGCUUAACACAUGCAAGUCGAACGGUGAAGCGCCUUCCUUUUUGGUGGGUGUGGAUGAGUGGCGAACGGGUGAGUAACACGUGAGUAACCUGCCCCCUUCUUCUGGAUAACCGCAUGAAAGUGUGGCUAAUACGGGAUAUUCUGGGUCUGUCGCAUGAUGGGUCUGGGAAAGAUAUUGUUUCGGUGGGGGAUGGGCUCGCGGCCUAUCAGCUUGUUGGUGGGGUGAUGGCCUACCAAGGCGGUGACGGGUAGCCGGCCUGAGAGGGUGGACGGUCACACUGGGACUGAGACACGGCCCAGACUCCUACGGGAGGCAGCAGUGGGGAAUAUUGCACAAUGGGCGCAAGCCUGAUGCAGCGACGCCGCGUGAGGGAUGGAGGCCUUCGGGUUGUGAACCUCUUUCGCCAGUGAAGCAGGCCUGCCUCGUUUGUGGGUGGGUUGACGGUAGCUGGAUAAGAAGCGCCGGCUAACUACGUG